UUAAGAUGUCUUCACUGUAGAAACCACA
rnacentral:sRNA from 1 species